rnacentral:rRNA from 1 species
GUGGGGAAUCUUGCGCAAUGGGCGAAAGCCUGACGCAGCCAUGCCGCGUGAAUGAUGAAGGUCUUAGGAUUGUAAAAUUCUUUCACCGGGGACGAUAAUGACGGUACCCGGAGAAGAAGCUCCGGCUAACUUCGUGCCAGCAGCCGCGGUAAUACGAAGGGGGCUAGCGUUGCUCGGAAUUACUGGGCGUAAAGGGCGCGUAGGCGGACAGUUUAGUCAGAGGUGAAAGCCCAGGGCUCAACCUUGGAAUUGCCUUUGAUACUGGCUGUCUUGAGUAUGGAAGAGGUGGGUGGAACUCCGAGUGUAGAGGUGAAAUUCGUAGAUAUUCGGAAGAACACCAGUGGCGAAGGCGACACACUGGUCCAUUACUGACGCUGGGGCGCGAAAGCGUGGGGAGCAAACAGGAUUAGAAACCCGGGUAGUCC